rnacentral:rRNA from 1 species
UACAGAGGGUGCGAGCGUUAAUCGGAAUUACUGGGCGUAAAGCGCACGUAGGCGGCUUGGUAUGUCGGGUGUGAAAUCCCCGGGCUCAACCUGGGAACUGCAUCCGAAACUGCCUUGCUAGAGUAUGGGAGAGGGAAGUGGAAUUUCCGGUGUAGCGGUGAAAUGCGUAGAUAUCGGGAGGAACAUCAGUGGCGAAGGCGACUUCCUGGACCAAUACUGACGCUCAGGUGCGAAAGCGUGGGGAGCAAACGGG